CAAUAGCGUAUAUUAACGUUGUUGCAGUUAAAAAGCUCGUAGUUGGAUUUCUGGAGGGAGCGUCGGCCCGUAUUUACGAGUGCGUGACGUCUCUGUCCAUCCUUGCGGGAAGGCACGGCAUUGAUUUGUUGUGUCGGAUCGCAUCAUUUACUGUGAAAAAAUUAGAGUGUUCAAAGCAGGCUUUCGCUUGAAUACAUUAGCAUGGAAUAAUAAGAUAGGACUUUGGUCUAUUUUGUUGGUUGCGGCCCAAGGUAAUGAUUAAUAGGGAUGAUUGGGGACAUUCAUAUUGAGGUGGAAGAGGUGAAAUUCUUGGAUUUCCUCAAGAUGAACUGCUGCGAAAGCGUCUGUCUAGGGCGUUUUCAUUAA
rnacentral:rRNA from 1 species